UUGUUUCAUUGCAUCGGAUCCCAAGAUGGAUUUAAGGAUGUUAUAAAUGACCUGUGUCUUUAAGAGUGUGUUAUAUGCUUUAUGAAAAGUUCUCAAGUCUCAGUUUGAUUUGAAACGGUUUGUGAAACAUUAUCCUGGAGAAAUGUCAACUUUCAUCAAGUCAAAGAUCAUUUGUAUAACACCCUGGUUCAGGUCAAGGCGGGGUCGUAAUCAGGGGAUGAGCUGCACCUUGGCCCGGUGUAGUCCUCAUAUAAUCCUCUUCUCAGGACAGACGCUCUCUCUCUCACCUUGUUCUCACAUUUGAUCAUUGUAAAUAAAUGUGGUGUUAUUUUGGUA